rnacentral:rRNA from 1 species
UACAGAGGUCUCAAGCGUUGUUCGGAUUCAUUGGGCGUAAAGGGUGUGUAGGUGGCGCCGUAAGUCGGGUGUGAAAUUUCGGAGCUUAACUCCGAAACUGCAUUCGAUACUGCGGUGCUUGAGGACUGGAGAGGAGACUGGAAUUCAUGGUGUAGCAGUGAAAUGCGUAGAGAUCAUGAGGAAGACCAGUGGCGAAGGCGGGUCACUGGGCUGACCUUGACGCUGAGGCGCGAAGGCGUGGGGAGCGAACGGG